UACGUAGGUGGCAAGCGUUGUCCGGAUUUACUGGGCGUAAAGGGCUUGUAGGCGGUUCGUUAAGUCCGGUGUGAAAUCUCCCGGCUCAACCGGGAUAGGUCACUGGAUACUGGCGAACUAGAGGGGGGUAGAGGAGAGCAGAAUUCCUGGUGUAGCGGUGAAAUGCGUAGAUAUCAGGAGGAAUACCAGUGGCGAAGGCGGCUCUCUGGGCCUACCCUGACGCUGAGGAGCGAAAGCGUGGGGAGCAAACCGG
rnacentral:rRNA from 1 species